GGAGUUAGCCGGUGCUUCUUCUGUGAGUGAUGUCCUUCCUGCCGGUUAUUGACCCGCAGGCCUUCUUCCUCACUGAAAGUGCUUUACAACCCGAAGGCCUUCUUCACACACGCGGCAUGGCUGGAUCAGGGUUGCCCCCAUUGUCCAAUAUUCCCCACUGCUGCCUCCCGUAGGAGUCUGGGCCGUGUCUCAGUCCCAGUGUGGCUGAUCAUCCUCUCAGACCAGCUACGGAUCGUCGCCUUGGUGAGCCGUUACCUCACCAACCAGCUAAUCCGACAUAGGCUCAUCCGAUAGCGCGAGGCCCGAAGGUCCCCCGCUUUCCCCCGUAGGGCGUAUGCGGUAUUAGCCUGGGUUUCCCCAGGUUAUCCCCCACUACCGGGCAGAUUCCUAUGCAUUACUCACCCGUCCGCCGCUCGCCACCAGGGAGCAAGCUCCCCGUGCUGCCGCUCGACUUGCAUGUGUUAGGCCUGCCGCCAGCGUUCAAUCUGAGCCAGUAAUCAAACUCUGA
rnacentral:rRNA from 1 species